UCAGAUUGAACGCUGGCGGCAGGCCUAACACAUGCAAGUCGAGCGGUAGCACAAGAGAGCUUGCUYUCUGGGUGACGAGCGGCGGACGGGUGAGUAAUGUCUGGGAAACUGCCUGAUGGAGGGGGAUAACUACUGGAAACGGUAGCUAAUACCGCAUGACGUCUUCGGACCAAAGUGGGGGACCUUCGGGCCUCACGCCAUCAGAUGUGCCCAGAUGGGAUUAGCUAGUAGGUGGGGUAAUGGCUCACCUAGGCGACGAUCUCUAGCUGGUCUGAGAGGAUGACCAGCCACACUGGAACUGAGACACGGUCCAGACUCCUACGGGAGGCAGCAGUGGGGAAUAUUGCACAAUGGGCGCAAGCCUGAUGCAGCCAUGCCGCGUGUAUGAAGAAGGCCUUCGGGUUGUAAAGUACUUUCAGCGAGGAGGAAGGCAUUAAGGUUAAUAACCUURGUGAUUGACGUUACUCGCAGAAGAAGCACCGGCUAACUCCGUGCCAGCAGCCGCGGUAAUACGGAGGGUGCAAGCGUUAAUCGGAAUUACUGGGCGUAAAGCGCACGCAGGCGGUUKRUUAAGUCAGAUGUGAAAUCCCCGAGCUUAACUUGGGAACUGCAUUUGAAACUGGCCAGCUAGAGUCUUGUAGAGGGGGGUAGAAUUCCAGGUGUAGCGGUGAAAUGCGUAGAGAUCUGGAGGAAUACCGGUGGCGAAGGCGGCCCCCUGGACAAAG
rnacentral:rRNA from 1 species